rnacentral:misc_RNA from 1 species
AAUAACUGCUACAAGUAACUGUUCACACCGAAACUCAUCCCUAACAAUUCAUGCUGGCUGUUUUAAUGACUCAUGCCAACUCACUUAACUACACUAGGCUUAUUCUUUCUAAACCAAGUUCUCUUGUAUGUAACUAUACCCACUUCUUUAGCACAUUCUUGUCCCAAGGAAUGUGCAAAAUCAGGAAAUUGGUUGAGGAGGAAAGCUUUGUCUUCCCAAGUGGCAUCUUCAACAGCCAAGUGCUUCCAUUUAAUAAGAACUUGAUCCACUUGUUGACCAUUUCUGAAAAUUAGUCUAGAUUUCAACACUUGUUCUGGAACAACUUCCACCACAUCUUCUUAAAAAACUAGAAGCUCUAUCAUAGGCACCACAUUUUCCCCUACCUUCUUUUUAAGCAAGGAAACAUGAAACACAGGAUGUAUAGAUGAUGAGGGUGGCAAAUCCAACUUAUAAGCAACAGCUCCAACCCUUGCAAGCAGUUUAUAAGGCCCAUAAAACCUUGCUGACAGUUUCAGUGAUUUUCAGAUAGCCGCUGAAGAUUGCCUAUAGGGUUGCAAUUUCAAGUAAACCAUAUCUCCAACCUGGAAUUCUCUUUCAGUCCUCUUCUUAUCCACCUGUUGCUUCAUUCUAUUCCUUGCAAUCUCCAAAUUAGCCUUCAAUAAAGCUGUCAUUUGCUACCGUUCCUAGAAAAAUUCUUGCAACUGUCCAACUGAAACUUGCUCAAGCGGCACAGCAGGUAGAAUAGGUGGAUAAUACCCAUAGAGAGCCUCAAAUGGAGUC